rnacentral:lncRNA from 1 species
CCUUCGUCCAUCAUGAAUUACUUUAACAGUCUUUCAUCUCAUACCACAAAUGCGAUGUAAUGCUUCAGUAACCACAUUGUAAAGAAAGGGUGCGAACAUUAUCACUUCACCAAAGUCUCUCAAAGGAAUGACAAUGACAACACUUCUAAUGGUAUUUAGUGAGCCAAUGCAAAAUCUCUGUCCACUGUCCAAUCCAUCAGUAACUUGAAGCGUUUCAGCAGAAAUUCCCUUGUGACAUCGCUCAGAUUCUCUUUUUUUUUUAUUUCAG